AGCGGAGGAAAAGAAACCAACAGGGAUUGCCUCAGUAACGGCGAGUGAAGCGGCAACAGCUCAAAUUUGAAAUCUGGCCCUAGGCCCGAGUUGUAAUUUGCAGAGGAUGCUUUUGGUGAGGUGCCUUCCGAGUCCCUUGGAACAGGGCGCCAUAGAGGGUGAGAGCCCCGUCUGGUUGGACACCGAGCCUCUGUAAAGCUCCUUCGACGAGUCGAGUAGUUUGGGAAUGCUGCUCUAAAUGGGAGGUAUAUGUCUUCUAAAGCUAAAUACCGGCCAGAGACCGAUAGCGCACAAGUAGAGUGAUCGAAAGAUGAAAAGCACUUUGGAAAGAGAGUUAAACAGCACGUGAAAUUGUUGAAAGGGAAGCGUUUACGACCAGACUUAGGCCCGGUUGAUCAACUAGCGUUCUCGCUGGUGCACUCUGCCGGCCUAGGCCAGCAUCAGUUCGUCUCGGGGGAUAAAGGCGUCGGGAAUGUAGCUCCCUCGGGAGUGUUAUAGCCCUUCGUGCAAUACCCUGAGGUGGACUGAGGUUCGCGCUCUGCAAGGAUGCUGGCGUAAUGGUCGUCAACGACCCGUCUUGAAACACGGACCAAGGAGUCGUCUUCGUAUGCGAGUGUUCGGGUGUAAAACCCCUACGCGUAAUGAAAGUGAACGCAGGUGAGAGCUUCGGCGCAUCAUCGACCGAUCCUGAUGUUCUCGGAUGGAUUUGAGUAAGAGCAUACGGGGCCGGACCCGAAAGAAGGUGAACUAUGCCUGUAUAGGGUGAAGCCAGAGGAAACUCUGGUGGAGGCUCGCAGCGGUUCUGACGUGCAAAUCGAUCGUCAAAUAUGGGCAUGGGGGCGAAAGACUAAUCGAACCUUCU
rnacentral:rRNA from 1 species